UGAAAAAGAUAACGCACUUUCAAACAGAAAUAUCAAAAAAACAAACACUACAACAACCAAAGUGAACCUAUUAUAUCCAAAUGUUUAUUCAUCACAAUAGUCUCCCUCUUUACUCAUUAGCUCAGAAGUUUCGGAGAGAUACAUUAUCAUCUCACAAGAAGAAGUUUGUACAAUCACUUCAUGACCUAAACAUAGGGUAAUUAGGGCCUGACUUAAUAGAAAAUGGGCAAUCAACUCAAAAUGCUGUCUGGCAGCAAAGUACAAUUAUAAAGAAAUGCUAAAUGCCUAAAAUUAAAUCAUAAGCUUCAAGCUUUGCAAGUUUCUACAAUCACUUCAUAACCUUAAACAUAGGCAUCAUAAACUUCAAGCUUUGCAAGUUUCUACAAUCACUUCAUAACCUUAAACAUAGGUUGAUUAGUGCAAGACUGAGUAGAAAAUCAGCAAUCAACUCAAAAUGCUGUCCGGCAGCCAACUACAAUAAUUAUGAAAUGCUAAAUUUAAAUCAUAAACUUCAAGACGGGCAUAGAAAAUGAAAAAGAAAAACUUAAAACUUUUCCAAACUAUCCAUUUAACUUAAGAGAGCUACAGACAAUGGAACAUGAUAAAAAAAUUGACUACACUUUCAAUCUAAGAUAUUUAAAAAAUCAACUCGACUAUAACAAAAAGCACAUCAAACAAUACAUUCUAUUUUCUCUUUCCCCUGUUUUCGUAGCAAGCACACAGUAAUUAGUUUGAGGUACAAAAAGUCGCAAGCAACACCGUUGGUUUUUUUGCUAAGAUCCACAACCAUUACCAUCCAACAACCUCUAUUAAUGGAACUCCCAACCACCACCCACUUGUUUCUUGACGAGAGAAGGCUAUUAUGGGCUCCAAUGGAGCCUA